rnacentral:rRNA from 1 species
AACGAACGCUGGCGGCAGGCUUAACACAUGCAAGUCGAGCGCCCCGCAAGGGGAGCGGCAGACGGGUGAGUAACGCGUGGGAAUCUACCCAUCUCUACGGAAUAACGCAUGGAAACGUGUGCUAAUACCGUAUACGUCCUUCGGGAGAAAGAUUUAUCGGAGAUGGAUGAGCCCGCGUUGGAUUAGCUAGUUGGUGGGGUAAAGGCCUACCAAGGCGACGAUCCAUAGCUGGUCUGAGAGGAUGAUCAGCCACACUGGGACUGAGACACGGCCCAGACUCCUACGGGAGGCAGCAGUGGGGAAUAUUGGACAAUGGGCGCAAGCCUGAUCCAGCCAUGCCGCGUGAGUGAUGAAGGCCCUAGGGUUGUAAAGCUCUUUCACCGGUGAAGAUAAUGACGGUAACCGGAGAAGAAGCCCCGGCUAACUUCGUGCCAGCCGCCGCAGUAAAAC